UCCGCCAGCGUCACGUCGUACCAGUACUGCGGGGCGGCGGGGGCCUGGGCCUGGUACCGCUCCACCGCCACCACCGUGAGCGGCGGCGGCUCCGCGGGGGCCAGGCUCAGCUGGGAGGAGCCCCGCACUUCCUCAAAGACCCUCUGCAGCCAGGAGACCCCGCCGCCGCUCGCCGGCGCCCCCCGCCUCUCCUCGGCGCCGCGUUCCGGGUCAUCGAUGCAGAAGUGAAUCACAGUUAAAGAAGGAAGCCAGAAUUCUUGCUUUUCUCUACUUACUACAAUUAUUCCUGAUUUUAAAGGAGAGCGUAGUUCAAUCGCCUUCUCUCCCCAGCCCAUGACCUGAUUAGAUUGAAGUUCCUAGGCUUUACAGUAGGGCACUGUUGCUGUAGGCUGUGAAGAAGACUGUCAUUAACAUUUCUGAAUCCCUGCAGCAGCGUGAUGAGCACCAGGGCAGCACCCACACAAUGUGCAGUUGGUGUCUAAAAAGGUAGGACCAGACCAUGCAUAAAGUGAUGAAGAUGAAAAUGAUACGAUACUCAGACAUUUUCUAUUUUUUGUAACAACUGACACCACAAUAACCUCCCCCUGCCUCACCCAGAUUACUGCGUAUUUUAAAAGACCUAAAGUUGUGCAUGAGCUGUGUGGUUUUUGUUAUACCAUUUACAGCAGCACUGCUCCCUGGGACAUCAAAGAAUACAUGCCAUAAACUUAGUAUAGGAAAGCGAGACCAAAAUCAGUUUUGUAACAUCAUGAAAGCACUAGCAAUGCUCUAAAUGUGGGGCAAGACUUGGUAGUUCCUGUUUACAGUGUGUAUUAACAUUAAGUUGAGCAGAGUCCCCAUUCGGGGAAGUAACUGCUUCAAGGGGAGAUGUUGGGGGAGACCGGAAAAGUGAAAGAAAUUACUGAGCCAUAUUGGAUCAGUGAAGUUCUGUAAAGCAUCCCUGACUGAGCCAAUGAUCUCAGUCUCAGACCAGGAUAUACUCAGUGUGAAUGACACAAAUGCACUUGGUACCACAAAACCCAGGUACUGCUACAAUCUCACUUCCCUUCUUAACCUUGCUUUUCUUUUUUAAACUCUUCCCCUUCAAAAAAUCCCUUUUCUGAUCUCAAGUAUUGAAUUUGGCUCACUGCACUAAGUGGUUAUUCCCAAAUGACCUCUGCAUGAGAGCAGAAUCAGGCCAGCUUUUAGCAAAAUAUCAAAUUGGGCUGUUCUGAUUACUAUUACAGAAAUAGGGCAGGAAAGGACCUUAAUGCACCUUCUCUUCCAUCCAUACCUCUGUGCCACAUCAGUAUCACUGCUGACAGUUGUUUGUCUAACCUGACCUUGAAGACCUCUAAGGAUGGAGCCUGCAAAAAUCCCCCUGGCAACCGGUUCCAGAUAAAUCAAGAAGUUACAAGUAAACAAACUGAAUAGGAAUUAAAAGAAUUAACUGCUGCCGAAGUUAAGCAAUUCUGGGUAGGAAAAUUGAGAAAUGAAUCAAUAACUUAUCUUGUGCAAUUCUGUUUAAUAGUUUUACUGCUAUUAUUUUUAUUACCUGGAUAAAAGUGGGUAUUUUCCUUCCUCCAGACACAGCUGUGGAAAACUUUUACUAAAUGAGAAAGGCUAGAGCGUCAAAAUCAAGAAGGUAAAUAAGCCUCUAAAGCUGGAUAAAUUCACAAGUGGACAAAUUAAGAAAUUGACCAUGGAAAGCAGGUGUUUUUCUGCUGUAUGUUUUGGUUAGAUUGCACUGGACAAAGGGCUGUCCCACAGGGUUCCCUAACCACCCCAGGCAAGCUAGGAAUGUAACUUGUAUGUGUCUCUGCAUCUCUGCUCCCAGUUGCUGCUCACUCCUUUGUAAUUAUUCCAGUAGAACUGAUAAGCUGGAAACGUAUUUGGGGUGACAGUUUGCUUCUCUGAACGCUUUUUGCUGUUUCUUGGGGAAAAAGAGCGCAGGAGAUCUGACCAACAGGAACGAUUCAGGCACAAACAGGCAUUUUCUGUGCAUGAGCCAGACAGCAACUGUUUGAAGAACUGGUAGGCAUGUUCACAGAGCACUGAGGAAGUAAUUCACCCACUUUUUGGUAAUGCUGUUUGUUUCUCUACAUAACAUCCUUUUAACUUCAUUUCUAUUUCCUUCGCUUUUUGCACACAGCAAAGGAAAUAAGGACUUUUAUUGGUUCUCUACUCUGGGAAUAUCAGUUUUGUGCCAGCUCUCUAAGACUACAUACUGUAAAUAAUUCAUUACUCACACAAUAGGGCAAAAGUGCUCCCAAAUCUUAUUAACUUGAUGUUUCUUAAACCCCUUUUUUAAUCCUGUUUUAUAGAGAGAAAAUAUUGCAGCUAUAUUUGUAUUUAGCCCUACGUAUGUGAAAUAUCUUUCAGAUUAAACUUAGAUAUGAGUACUUCCACAAUUUUAAUUUCCCAUGGGAUUUGAGUUUCCUCUCUCCAAUUUCUUAUUAAUGGAUCAGUCACAGAGGUUUGAACUUAGACUGUGAGGGUAAGCUAUUUUUAGGCUCUGUGCCCUAAAUCCAUCAAUUAUAAUACAAACUAAUUUUUUUUGGUAGUCAAGAUAUUCUCACCAAGUACAAAAAUUUUGUUUCAAAAUAAUUGUUUAAAGACAUUAAGAAACGAGCAAAGGAUGGCUAGAGGGCACCCUGAGGUUAACACAAGACCCUUCUAUUUCUGAAACACAGAGUGAAAACUUUGAGAUAAGCUCAUAUGGACCCAUUUCAGACCACCUGAAGUCAGGGAAUUCCACAAAAAUGGGAUCUUUUAUGAAACUUUCAAGUUCCCCCUAAGUUGGGCCAUGCAUGUAAGACAGUUAUUCGCACUUCUCUCAUAACAGCUAAUGUUUUCAUCUGGAGCCAAGCAUUUCAAAGGAUCAAGAAAAUUAAAAGGAGCUAGUGGGAAACAAUUAUUAAAAUAAUAGUUAACAGAGCUCUUUGUUUAAAGUUUGACUUGUGUGUUGAGUUAUAGGUUGGGUUAAUUUGUUUUUAACGGAAAUAUGAUUCCAAUCAGAAGCCAAAUGAAUCUUGUACCACAUCAAAGAUUGACAGUUUCUGUGCCAAAGAAAUCAAUUUCUGAGAUAGCAGAAGUGCUGCAGCAGCAACACAAGGGUUCUCAAGCUCACAUAUUGGAAAAUUUUCAAAUGACAACUGAGAGGGGCUGUUUGGAGGAUGUGUCUCUUCAUUCUGGAACCUGCAGAAGUAUAAACAAUGAAAGGGAUGGAUGGAUGGAUGGAUGGAUGGAUACAGACGUUUUCCCUCCAAAGAGAACCUGCACACUUGCUUUCUGAGCACUGGAAGAAAUGGUACAAAGAGCUGGCUGUUCACUCAGCUCUCCUAACCUCACCCUCCACAACAUCUCAUGCAGCCCACUGCUUCCUCAGCAGGGUGCUUCAUUACACCCAUCCCAGCGACCUGUUCCUGGACGGGCAUCACCUUCCCAGCUGGUGGUUCCCAUUCCUCUAGACUGACUACAGAGAAAAUCUAAACUAUUCACAUAGACAAAACUCCUAGCUUCUAUACAGUAAAACUGACCAGACAGGAUGCCACCCUCAGAAGUAGCUUCUUUAUCCUCUUCCUAUUUAACUGCCCUAAAAUACUGUGACAAAAAUGCUUAGGCAAUUUCGUACUGAUAGCUUUCCAUGCAAAUGAUUAUCACAGAGGUGUGCUGAAGAAGAGGAGAAAUAGCUGCACGAACAUGUGGAAAGGCGAGUGUCCAAAUGGCAUUGUUUCUAUUAAGAUGUAAUCAGCCUUGAGAAAUUGAGAAUGCCUAGCCAGAUGUAUACUGAAGGAUGUUUUAAAUUAGACUAAUUACCUGGCACAAAGGAUCUCAUAUUCCAAAGUGCUGAAGCUUUAUUCACUUCAAUGCCAGCUGGGCACACACAAGGAAAUUUUUACUGAAGUGAAGGCAGUGUGAUUUCCAGGCUACAGGAAUGCUUUAUAAACCUAUCUCUCCUAUCUGCGGGCUUGAUGAUUCAGUGCUUUCUGAAACAUUAGAAAGGCAGGCUUAGGCUUCAGAUCUCUCUGCUCCCUUUGUGAGGGACUCCUGCAGCCUCUGGCUAGAUUCAGGGAAAAAAGCUUUGAGAGCCAUCAGCGCCUGGUGACACAAACUGCAAAUUUCCAAGCAGGAGUCACAGAUCUACAUGACCCUUCUUACAACAUCCCCCCCUUUCUAAAGCUGGAUGUAAGAAAGCCUUUGUGCCUUUGUUCCUUAUAUAUCAUGCAGCUUUGAAACACACCAUCUAUCUACUAACCGUGACUCUUCAGGAGAUCGUAUAUAGUAAGAACACUUACAACUAGAAAAGCCUGUAAUAGUUGCAAAUAACAUCCAUGUUUUCAAAAGUAUUAAACAUGAGAUUAGGGUUAAUCUCUGGCAAGACACAUAUAAAUGCAGCUGACUUUUUAAUUCCCAAGGCAGGAAAAAGGAGUUCUAACAUGUGGGAAAAACAAAGGAGAGGUUAAAAGUUUAGGAAAAUUACAUAUCAUGUACGCACACUAUAAGGUGGAUAAGAGAUGGCAGUUUGAAGGCAGUGUUCAUGUUCCGAAGCUUGCCACUGAACUGUACUAGCAUAAGGAAGCACGUCCCACAACAACACGCUUUCCUGAAAAUUUCUGUCUCUUUCAGAUCGUAUUCGUCAGUGCAGCUUCUACUUACGUUCAAUACUUCUUGUUAGAGCUUUUCCUACCCUGGUAGAGUAAUUGCCUUUUGAUUAUGGAUUAUUUCUUUUGGUAUUUCUAAUGUUAACUCAGAAGGGAUGAGCAACUUCAACAUAUCAAAGACCAUUAGAUAUUCCUAUGAAAAAUGGAGAAUUGACUUGAUAUAUUUUAAUUAUGCCCUGUAGCUCUGAAUAUGGGCUGAAAAUUGGAGUUAGGGCUACUUAUUGAUGAGAAGCGAACACUAUAUGGUUAAUGACCUUAUACCUGUUUUUUGAAAGUGAAGCAGUUGCUGAAUUUUAUUGAAACAGUGCAAAAAAUAAGUUCUCCUGUCGCAAUUUGUGUGCCAGAGGUGGACUUGCCCUCAGUACUUUUCAAAACCCUCUACAAAUGUCAAAUCUGGCAUUUACUUAAGGGUGCUAUUCUAGUGAUUUUAAUGGUCUUUUCCUAAAAAUACCCAACUAGAAGUGAAACGAGAAAGGUGAACAUCCUGGGUUCUUCACAGUGGUAUGCAGUUUCUGCCAAGCUAAUAAUAUGCUUUUGCACAAUCUAAGUGUUUUGGGCUUUUCUUGUUUGUUGGUAUGUUUUAAGAUGCAGAACAGGAGUCAGCCAGACAAGAAAUUAAAAGCAACAAAUAAUAAAACAACAACAACAAAAAAAUCUGUCUGUGUUGUUCUUGGUUUUCCCCACACUGUUAAACUUGAAGCCCUCUGGGGAAGGUGAAACAAACAGCUGUCCUGGCUACAAUUAGAAUCUCCUCCUACAAAGCCAACUGCAAACACAAAGAGAUUGCAAAUCUUUAAGAAAUACCCUGGACUGGCAACACUUUGAAUUUAAAACAAUAAAAUUAAGGGGUCAUUUGACAGCAGUAACAGACCUACUCAUUAACUGACUUCUUUACAGUUGUGAAUUUUUACCUAAAAUGUUAUGGACUACAAACAAAGUAGAAAACAAGAACACCUUGUUUCCCCUCUAAUUCACAUCAUUCUCUCUCUGAAGACUGGUGGUAAGCUGCAUCCUCUGAAGUUUGGCUGUAUUGUCAAGGUACGAUGAAUAAACAGCAUGACAAGAAUACAACCUCAGUGAUCCAAACGUGAAGACCCUACUGUAAUCGUUGGCUGUCUUAACACAAACUUACAUAAAUCUGUUUACUCUUUA